rnacentral:lncRNA from 10 species
GCCAUCCUUGCAGCCUAGGAAUGGAUGGGCCACAGAGGCAACACAGGACAGUAAGAACCAAAGAUGAUAAUCCAGGCAAAGACAAAUUCCUCUGCUGCACCUGGCUAGGGAUUUCACCAGAUCUUUAGGGACCAAAGUUCACACUAGCCAGACAGUUUUGUGGUAUUAGGGCACCUGUAUCUGUAAUUAUACCUAAAUUGAACAAUACGGUAAACUGCAGUAAACUAUGCUAUGGAUUUAAUAAUUUUCAAUUAAUCUUUUUAUUGUAUUAAAAAAAAAAAAGGCCAGGCUGGGCACGGUGGCUCACACCUGUAAUUCCAGCACUUUGGGAGGCCGAGGCAAAUGGAUCACUUGAGCUCAGGAGUUUGAGACCAGCCUGGCCAACAUGGCAAAACCCCCAUCUCUACCAAAAAUACAAAAAUUAGCUGGGCGUGGUAGGGGGCACCUGUAGUCCCAGCUGCUCAGGAGACUGAGGCAGGAGAAUCACUUGAACCCAGGAGGCGGAGGUUGCAGUGAGCCGAGAUCGCGCCAUUGCACUCCAGCCUAGGUGACAGAGCGAGACCGCCCACCCACCCCCAACUUUUUUUGAGACAAAGGCCAGAGUUCCAGAACCUUUUCCAAUACUGUGACACAUGGACAGGGUAGAUCUCAGACAGACAAUCCACAGUGAGGUUUCUGGCACCCGGGGUGUGCAGUCCACACACAGGAACAGGAUGUUUCCAGCAGGAGGAGGAAGCACAAGGUUACACAGGCUUCAGAGUCAGGCUGCCAGGGAUCAAAUCCCAGCACCUCCUUUUUCCUGUGAUGGGGCUUGUUCAACUUCUUUGAUAUCUCUAAACUAGGGAUAACAACAGCACCCGCUUGAGACUAUUGGGUGGAUUGACUGAACUCAUCUAUGUAAAAUGCCCAGCACACAAUAAGCUUCAUCAGCUGUUAUAAUUAAGGUCAGUCCUUGAAAAGGCUUAGUGGAGUUUGGGCAGGUGGCUACACGGUGGGAGAGGAUCCAGCUGUGCCUGUCAGUCCCCAGCUGCCGGCCACAUGGAUGCUCCCCACUCCCCUAGCCACCUCUGCCUGUGUACGCUUCUGACACUACGCUGCCUCUGCUUCCCUCUCCCUGUUCCAGCACGUCGGGCACACACGUGGAGUUGCACUAAUGCCAUUCCGCUGCAGCUUUCUGCAUGGCCCACACCCAUCUUUUCCUGGGUGUCCACUCUCAGCCAGUCAGGAUGGUGGUUGCCCAUCCUGCAGGGGUCCAGGACCUGUAGCCUGUGUGAUAGACACCAGCAGCAGCUAGUCUAUCAGCCACCUCAGUAGAGGCAGGUGACAACAGUGCAGGCUCUUUCAUGAUGGUAGACUUUGGAAUUAGUUACAGAUGAGUAAGAGAAACCCAUAGUGAGGGAGGGGGUCUUACCGGUUCAUUCAUCCAUUUAACCACCAUUUACAGAAUGCCCACUGUGUGCCAGUCAGUAUCCAGAAUUCCCAAAGAGGCACCUAACGAAUGGGAAUGCAUGCAGCCUGACAGUGUGGGUGGCUUGUCACUUACAGCAGCCUCCUGCCCAGGUUUCUUUAAGCCUUUCAAGGACUGACCUUAAUUAUAACAACAGCUGAUGAGUGCUUAUGUGCCAGGCAUUUUAUAUGGACGGAUUCAUUCAGUCCACCCAACAAGUUUGAGCAGGCACUGUUGUUAUCCCCAUUUCACAGAUGAGGAAGCAGACGCAAAAAAGGCAACCAGGCAAAGUCCCUAUCGCCCAACCUACCCAGAAACCAACAGACCCCAGGGCACUUCGAGCUGGAAAGGGCUAGAAAGCUUACCACUUUUUUUUCUUUGAAGCUGAACACUUCUUUGAACGCUUUCUCUAACAUCGAUUUAAGGAUAUCUUUGAUCUUUGUGGAAACAAAGAAGAAUGCUUUAAGACUGCGCUUAGAAAUCUGGCCGUUUGGUUUUAAGGUCAUUGGCCUCUGCCUACCGUGCUCCUGAAUGAAUAGCUCAGGACUUCCAGGGCUACCUUUGGGCCAAAAGUUAAUAAUUUACAGCUGAGCAAGUGUAGGUAAACUGCCACUUUACAGCAAGCUUCUAAUCCCUCACUGAUCACUUUGAAAAUUACAAAGGACAUUCACUUCAAGUGUGAGCCAAUUCAGAAUCAACCUCAUGCUAAUUUGAUAUAAGCUGUUCACUGAGGGAAAAAGUCCAAAGGAGGUUCUAACUUAUUUUCUAAAUGGACAUCGUAUCAAAAUUAAAAAUUCAAUGACAGCAUCUUUUAGCUCAAUCAUAGUUAAGUAUAUAAUACUGCUGAAUUUAAAGUCAGCAGAGAUUAUCUAGACUUUACUAUGAAAUAUAGACAAGCUGUGCUUUUAAAAGGUUUAUUUAAAUUACUGAUUAUAAAAGUAAUCCAAGCCCAUUUGUGAAAAUUUGGAAAAUGUGGAAGAGUAUAAAGAAAAAAAAAACUACUCAUUCUAUGAGCACCGAGAGAUAAACGUUAUCAUGUUGGCGCACUUCCUUCUGGCCUUUUUCUCCAGAUCAGAGGAAGAGGAAGGGUGGUGUAUCUUCAUGAAACUACUAACCCAAACCCAGAACACAGCCAUCUCGCUACUAAAGCACCCAGGAAUUGUAGUUUUCUGUGCAACAGAGAUUGGGGAGCUAAGGCUGAGGAUUCAGGGUGAAUAACAAGUCUGGUGCUUGUCUGCAGAACAGCCAGCUGACUUUUGAAGUUGAUUCCUCCAACAUGAUGAAGCGUAUGUAGCUCAGGAAAAACGGCAGCUGGCCUUAAAUCAUAUAGCAUAAGCAAAGGGCUCUUCCCUGGACUAUGUCUCAUUUACUAUUUGAAUAAACAAAAUUCAACAACCUGAACAAUAAAUAAAAUAAAAAGGGAAUCUGCUGGAUCCACUGAAAAGUAAUGCUUACUUAUUCAAAUUUAUUAUGCCCCAUUUCCCCAUGCAUUACAUUUAAACCUCUGAUUUUUUAAAAGAAUAACAUCAUUAUUGAAAACUAAUGUUAUGCUUCAAAGCUCUAUUACUUGAACUGUUCAUAAAUGGAUUUAUGGCUACUGCUGAGUUCUGUGAAAGACUGUAUUGUAUGCCUUCUCCUUCAGUUUCACCAAGACUAUUAAUAAAGAUAUCCCUACAUCAACAUUUGCCCUCCUGCAGGGAGCUAGGUAUUCAUACCUGAAAAAAACUUUCACUUAAAUUGCUUUAAUGGGUUUUAAGUAAAACACUACUCCCAGUGAUUUAUUUUUCCCUUUGAUUGGCCAAGGAUUUGAAUUAUAGCUCACAGGGUAAAUUCAUAAAUAAUCAUGCUAACACCUUAUUUAGGAGCUAUAAUGCAAUAGGAGCUGCAGGUUUCUAUCUGCCCAUUGUUGAAGCCUCCUAAACAUUACAGAGCUGUGUAUGUAGGUGUGUAUGGAAUAAUACAUCAUCCAAUAUAUAGGCAUCUCUGUCUCUCCCACUAAAUCAGGGUCAGGAAUGAUAUCUCCUUUGUAGACUAAAUUGGAAACCAGGUAUAUUUCAGAGACUAAUAGGAGCUUCUUAGCUUUUAAAACAUGUAAUAUUAAACCACAUUGCAACAAUUUCAAUAUGUCCCCAGCAUAAGAUUUCUCAACACAAGUCACCAAGAAUGGAGGGCAUGCUAUCAUUUAAGUCACUGGACUGAAAAUAACCCAAACAUAGAGUAGAUUCUUAAUAUAACACUGUUAAAAUAACAGAAUGUCACAUACUCAAUGACAGCUCAAACCGUGAUAAUAAAGAAACCAAUCAAUCAAUAAAUGUGACUAAAAGGACCACCUUGUGCAGAAAAGAAACCAAAACCACUGUUCUUGCAGGAGGCAGAGCCAGGACAGGCUCCAAUAUUUAGGAGCUUUCUCUAUCCAACUCUGUUUACUGUCCCUAUUUUUCCCUUAUGAUUAAACUUUUCAUCUUCAUUUAAAAAAACA